rnacentral:rRNA from 1 species
GACGAACGCUGGCGGCGUGCUUAACACAUGCAAGUCGAACGGAAAGGCCCUGCUUUUGUGGGGUGCUCGAGUGGCGAACGGGUGAGUAACACGUGAGUAACCUGCCCUUGACUUUGGGAAAACUUCAGGAAACUGGGGCUAAUACCGGAUAGGAGCUCCUGCUGCAUGGUGGGGGUUGGAAAGUUUCGGCGGUUGGGGAUGGACUCGCGGCUUAUCAGCUUGUUGGUGGGGUAGUGGCUUACCAAGGCUUUGACGGGUAGCCGGCCUGAGAGGGUGACCGGCCACAUUGGGACUGAGAUACGGCCCAGACUCCUACGGGAGGCAGCAGUGGGGAAUAUUGCACAAUGGGCGGAAGCCUGAUGCAGCAACGCCGCGUGCGGGAUGACGGCCUUCGGGUUGUAAACCGCUUUCGCCUGUGACGAAGCGUGAGUGACGGUAAUGGGUAAAGAAGCACCGGCUAACUACGUG